UACGUAGGGGGCAAGCGUUAUCCGGAAUUAUUGGGCGUAAAGAGUGCGUAGGUGGUUAUUUAAGCGCAGGGUGAAAGGCUACAGCUUAACUGUGGUAAGCCUUGCGAACUGGAUGACUUGAGUGCAGGAGAGGAAAGCGGAAUUCCUAGUGUAGCGGUGAAAUGCGUAGAUAUUAGGAGGAACACCAGUGGCGAAGGCGGCUUUCUGGACUGUAACUGACACUGAGGCACGAAAGCGUGGGGAGCAAACAGGAUUAGAUACCCUGGUAGUCCACGCCGUAAACGAUGAGCACUAGGUGUCGGGGUCGCAAGGCCUCGGUGCCGCAGCUAACGCAUUAAGUGCUCCGCCUGGGGAGUACGCACGCAAGUGUG
rnacentral:rRNA from 1 species